rnacentral:rRNA from 1 species
UACGUAGGUGGCGAGCGUUAUCCGGAAUGAUUGGGCGUAAAGGGUGCGUAGGCGGCCUGCUAAGUCUGGAGUGAAAGGUACCGGCUCAACCGGUACAGGCUCUGGAAACUGGCGGGCUAGAGAGCAGGAGAGGGCGGUGGAACUCCAUGUGUAGCGGUAAAAUGCGUAGAUAUUAGGAGGAACACCAGUGGCGAAGGCGGCCUGCUGGACGGUGACUGACGCUGAGGCUCGAAAGCGUGGGGAGCAAACAGG